rnacentral:rRNA from 1 species
GACGAACGCUGGCGGCGUGCCUAAUACAUGCAAGUCGAACGCAGAGGGGACGGGUGAGUAACACGUGGGUAACCUCCCAUCAGAGGGGAUAACACUUGGAAACAGGUGCUAAACCGAUACUGAUGGAUGAACCCGCGGUGCAUGAGCUAGUUGGUGAGGGAACGGCUAACCAAGGCUACAAUGCAUAGCCUACCGGAGAGGGUGAGCGGCCACACUGGGACUCAGACACGGCCCAGCUUCCUACGGGAGGCAGCAGUAGGGAAGCUUCGGCAAUGGACGAAAGUCUGACCGAGCAACGCCGCUGGAGUGAAGAAGGUUUUCGGAUCGUAAAACUCUGUUGUUAGAGAAGCGGGAUCUAACCAGAAAGCCACGGCUAACUACGGGCCAGCAGCCGCGGUAAUUC